rnacentral:rRNA from 1 species
GGGGGAAUAUUGCACAAUGGGGGAAACCCUGAUGCAGCGACGCCGCGUGGAGGAAGAAGGUCUUCGGAUUGUAAACUCCUGUUGUUGAGGAAAAAGAGGAUGGUACUCAACAAGGAAGUGACGGCUAACUACGUGCCAGCAGCCGCGGUAAAACGUAGGUCACAAGCGUUGUCCGGAAUUACUGGGUGUAAAGGGAGCGCAGGCGGGUAUGCAAGUUGGGAGUGAAAUACAUGGGCUCAACCCAUGAACUGCUCUCAAAACUGUGUAUCUUGAGUAGUGCAGAGGUAGGCGGAAUUCCCGGUGUAGCGGUGGAAUGCGUAGAUAUCGGGAGGAACACCAGUGGCGAAGGCGGCCUACUGGGCACCAACUGACGCUGAGGCUCGAAAGUGUGGGUAGCGAAAC